CUUGGAGACCUGCUUCAGAAGCUGCAGUUCGUCCUGGCCUACGUGGCCCCUUGGCAGAUGGCCUGGGGCUCUUCCUUCCAUGUGUUUGCCCAGCUCUUCGCCAUCCCUCACUCCGCCAUGCUUUUCUUCCAGACAUUCGCCACCUCGAUCUUCUCCACACCCCUGAGUCCGUUCCUCGGAAGCGUCAUAUUCAUCACGUCCUACGUCAGGCCAGUGAAGUUCUGGGAGAGAAGCUAUAAUACACAGCGUGUGGAUAAUUCCAACACAAGGCUGGCCGUGCAAAUGGAAAGAGACCCAGGGAGUGAUGACGGCAGCCUUAACUCCAUCUUCUACGAGCACCUGACGCGGACCCUGCA
rnacentral:lncRNA from 1 species